rnacentral:rRNA from 1 species
ACGCGUAUGAAGAUCAAGCUGAAAGACUUUAUCCGAUGACGUAAGUGGUGGUGCAUGGCCGUUCGUGGUUCGUGGAUUGAUUUGUCUGGUUAAUUCCGAUAACGAGCGAGACCCCGACGUUCUUAAUAUGGGGCCCACAGCCAAAGCGGUCGAAAGGCCGCUUAGCUAAGGCUUAAAUUCCAGCUUCUUAGACGUUUCUGGGCCGAUAAGGUCCAUUAAAUGGGUUAAUAACAGGUCAGAGAUGCCCUUAGAUGUUCUGGGCCGCACGCGCGUUACAAUGGCACGUAAAGCAAGUGCUCCUGGUGGGCCCCGCGUUGGUCGAGCGGCUAAUGGAAUCCAUAAACCUUGCCUUGACUGGGCUAGGUCUAUUGUAACUAUUGGUCUUAAACGAGGAAUUUUUGGUAUUCGCCAGGUCAUUAACCUGCGCCGA